rnacentral:rRNA from 1 species
UACGGAGGGUGCAAGCGUUAAUCGGAAUCACUGGGCGUAAAGCGCUCGUAGGCUGUUCGGUAAGUCAGACGUGAAAGCCCUCGGCUCAACCGGGGAACUGCGUUUGAUACUGCCAGACUUGAGUGUCGGAGAGGGUGGCGGAAUUCCAGGUGUAGGAGUGAAAUCCGUAGAUAUCUGGAGGAACACCAGUGGCGAAGGCGGCCACCUGGACGACAACUGACGCUGAGGAGCGAAAGCGUGGGUAGCAAACAGG